AGUCUGGUGCCAGCAGCCGCGGUAAUACCAGCUCCAGUAGCGUAUAUUAAAGUUGUUGCAGUUAAAAAGCUCGUAGUUGAAAUUCUGUACGGAACGACGUCUUCGGAUGAUCGAGCCGUGCAUCCGCCUGAGCAGCAGGUCGGUACUUUGUUGCCGGUUUGUGAUCAGGCACUUUACCUUGAGCAAAUUAGAGUGUUCCAGGCAGGCGUCAGCCUGAAUAGUCCAGCAUGGAAUAAUAGAAGAGGACUGAAAACCACUGUUGGUGCUGUGGUAAUCAGUAAUGAUUAAUAGGGAUAGUUGGGGGCAUUCGUAUUUAAUUGUCAGAGGUGAAAUACUAUGAUUUAUUAAAGACGAACCUAUGCGAAAGCAUUUGCCAAGGAUGUUUUCAUUAAUCAAGAGCGAAAGUUAAGGGAUCAAAGACGAUCAGAUACCGUCGUAGUCUUAACCAUAAACUAUGCCGACUAGAGAUUGGAGGUGCAACUCCAAGACUCCUUCAGCAUCUUACGAGAAAUCAAAGUCUUAGGGUUCUGGGGGGAGUAUGGUCGCAAGACUGAAACUUAAAGGAAUUGACGGAAGGGCACCACCAGGUGUGGAGCCUGCGGCUUAAUUUGACCCAACACGGGGAAACUUACCAGGUCCAGACAUAGCGAGGAUUGACAGACUGACAGCUCUUUCUUGAUUCUAUGGGUGGUGGUGCAUGGCCGUUCUUAGUCGGUGGAGUGAUUUGUCUGGUUAAUUCCGAUAACGAACGAGACCUCAGCCUGCUAAAUAGUCAGAGUCCGAUUGGGCUUGUGACUUCUUAGAGGGACUGUGGGGGCUACUCCACGGAAGUUUGAGGCAAUAACAGGUCUGUGAUGCCCUUAGAUGUCCUGGGCCGCACGCGCGCUACACUGAUGCAGGCAGCAAGCACCGUGGCAGAAAUGUCUCGGAAAACUACAAACUGCAUCGUGCUGGGGAUUGACUCUUGGAAUUCUUGGUCAUAAACGAGGAAUACCUAGUAAACGCAAGUCAUCAGCUUGCAUUGAUUACGUCCCUGCCCUUUGUACACACCGCCCGUCGCUCCUACCGAUUUGAGUGGUGCGGUGAACCCUUCGGACCGGUACGCCGGAAAGUUGAGUAAACCUUACCACUUAGAGGAAGGAGAAGUCGUAACAAGGUA
rnacentral:rRNA from 1 species